rnacentral:rRNA from 1 species
UAGCUUUAAGAUUUUAUUUAAAGUUUUACCUGCCCGGUGGAAUUUCUUAACGGCCGCAGUACUUUGACUGUGCUAAGGUAGCAUAAUAAAUUGGCUUUUAAUUAAAGUCGGGUAUGAAAGGGAUUUUGGAAAAUAACUGUCUCUAGUAUAUUUUAUUUUAAUUUAAUUAAUGAGUGAAAAUUCUCAUAUUUGUACAUUAGACGAGAAGACCCUAAGAGUUAUUAUUAAAAUGAAUUUAUUUCAUAUAUCAUUUUUGUUGGGGCAACAAAGACUGGAUAGAACCGUCAUAAAGUAACUUUAACAUAACCAAUAAUAUUUAAAAAGAAAUAAACUACCUUAGGGAUAACAGCAUAAUUAAUUUUUAGAUUGUGACCUCGAUGUUGGAUUAAGGACUUAGUUUACUAGCCGUAAACUAAGAUAGUUCUGUUCGAACUGUAGUACCUU